rnacentral:tRNA from 1 species
GGGGCGGUAGCUCCAGGGGUAGAGCGCUGCCUUACAAGGGCAAGAUGUCGGCGGUUCGAAUCCGUCCCGCGCCCACCA